CACUCCUGCGGGAGGCAGCAGUGGGGAAUUUUGGACAAUGGGCGAAAGCCUGAUCCAGCAAUGCCGCGUGAGUGAAGAAGGCCUUCGGGUUGUAAAGCUCUUUUGUCAGGGAAGAAACGGUGAAAGCUAAUAUCUUUUCUAAUGACGGUACCUGAAGAAUAAGCACCGGCUAACUACGUGCCAGCAGCCGCGGUAAUACGUAGGGUGCAAGCGUUAAUCGGAAUUACUGGGCGUAAAGCGUGCGCAGGCGGUUUUGUAAGUCUGAUGUGAAAUCCCCGGGCUCAACCUGGGAAUUGCAUUGGAGACUGCAAGGCUAGAAUCUGGCAGAGGGGGGUAGAAUUCCACGUGUAGCAGUGAAAUGCGUAGAUAUGUGGAGGAACACCGAUGGCGAAGGCAGCCCCCUGGGUCAAGAUUGACGCUCAUGCACGAAAGCGUGGGGAGCAAACAGGAUUAGAAACCCGAGUAGUCCCAUGA
rnacentral:rRNA from 1 species